rnacentral:pre_miRNA from 15 species
AGGGCCGGCACGCCUCUGCUGCUGGCCAGAGCUCUUUUCACAUUGUGCUACUGUCUGCACCUAUUACUAGCAGUGCAAUGUUAAAAGGGCAUUGGCCAUGUAGUGCUACCCAGCUCCGGCUG